rnacentral:rRNA from 1 species
AGAGUUUGAUCCUGGCUCAGUAAGACAGUAGGCUGCUUUCCAUUCUCCGGAAGCCAGUUUGGGAACAUACUUUUGCUUUUGUGCUUCAUUUCCAUAAUAGAGUAUGGGUAAGGUUCCAAUGCCGGUGUGUGCCGCAAAGGAAACUGCAAAGGAAUGUCCUGCACCCAAUACUUCAGUUACCAGCAUUCCGGUAACGAAAUCCUUUUCAAAACCACCGUAUUGUUCAGGGACGUUCAUUCCCAUUAAUCCAAGUUCAGAGGCUUUGUUCAUGAUGGAAACAGUAAGACCUUCUUCCAUGGCAUCAAUGCGAUCCAGGUUGGGAAAUACUUCCUGAGCCAGGAUCAAACUCUAAGGGCGAAUUC